GCGGUGGUCCCACCUGACCCCAUGCCGAACUCAGCAGUGAAACGCCGUAGCGCCGAUGGUAGUGUGGGGUCUCCCCAUGUGAGAGUAGGGAACUGCCAGAC
rnacentral:rRNA from 1 species